CAUUUCUGGCAUCUGAAUAUCCAUAAAGCAUGCAUCAAAAUUGUGCGGUAACUGCAGCAAUGCAAGAGCAGCUUUCCCACUUUCAGCACACUCUACCUCGGCCCCAAACUUUUUGAGUGCACCAGCAGCAACCCUGCGAUUUACUCUAUUAUCAUCAACCACCAAAAUUUUCAUACCACACAGUAGGCCACGAAGGGAUGGAGAUCUAUUGGACAUAUCUUUUCCUCGACUCUUGUUUCCAGUUCCAAUUAGCUGCUGAAGGCAUGCAGCCAGCAUACUUGCUCUAAGAGGUUUCAUUAUCACUGAAAAACCUACUGCUUUAGCCUUUUCAUGUUCAGCGUUGGUGAUAUUAGUCGCCAGAAGGAUCAUCUUAGGUAACUUGUACACGUGUCCAUUUUGAUUGAUGUUUGGAAAGUGUAAAUUUAGGUCAACAUCUUCAGAUAUCCACAAGUCCUUCUCGACCAGAAUUAUGUCCAGCUUCCUCUCAUUGGAAACAACAGAAACAUUUCUCCCAAGAGUGGCUGCAGCUCUCUUGAUGCUACUGACAACUUCUGCCCGAAUACCAAGUCUCUUCAGAUGGUAUCCAGUUACAGCAGCUCUUACAGGCUUUUUAUCGACUAUAAUAGCAUUUAGACCUUUGAAUGAUGUAGGCAAAUCAUCAGAAUGAGAUUUUUUCAGAUCACCAAGAGCAUGUUUCUCGCAUCUUAGGAAGCUAACACUGAAAGAAAAUGUACUUCCAAUCUUGGGACGGCUAAUGAAACUUAUAUGACCGCCCAUCAGCUCGACGAGACACUUGCUAAUGCUUAGCCCAAUACCAGUUCCUCCGUACUUUCUAGAAGUUGAACUGUCUGCCUGCAUGAAUGGUGUAAAAACUCGUUCUUGUGUUUUUAAAGGGAUCCCGAUUCCAGUAUCCUCAACACUAACCAUUACAGUGACAUCCCGAGAGAGAUCAUCAUUCACCACCUUAGUUGCAGAUUCAUAGUCCAACCCAUUGUCAGCAAUUAUGUGCUUGAAGGUGUUCCAAGUGUUCUGGCUAUCAGCAGUUUCGUAACCACUUAAGGUCUUGAAAUGAAAAGCACUAGAAGAAAUAACACUUUCAGUUCCUCCAUUCAAGCAGGUAUCCUUUUUGUCACCAUCUUUGUUUAGUUCUACCAGAUGAACUUGAACAAAUAUAUGCCCUUGUAAAGUGAAUUUGACAGAGUUGUUCACCAGAUUUGUUAUCACUUGUCUGAAUCUUCCUGGAUCCCCCAUAACAAUUUCAGGCACUUUAUCAGAAACAAAGACGGCCAACUCAAGACUUUUGCGCCUUGAAUCAUCAGAGAAUAAAG
rnacentral:misc_RNA from 1 species